GUCACUUUAGAAUGACCCCUUUAUAUCUAUAUUUCUCUUCCACUGAGUCUGCCACCAAAAAUGGCUCUAGAGAGGUGUGUUUGUGUUCUUUGCAUUUUCCUACAUGCUUUCCAAGCAACAGUCAAGUGAGGAGUACUCAGCGGCUUACAAUCUGCAGCCUCACUGCUAGAUGCCACUAAAUCCUACAGACUGUACCUUUAAGAUACUUGGAGAGCCAUAUGGGGAGGAAAUUUUGCACAAAGGUCAUGUAAGUACACAGCAAAUGCUGAUUGCUAAUCAUUCUAAUUGAGUUUUUAUGUGACUAAUAGCUUAUUUCACACAAUGGUAAUUAUCCUAAUGUGGAGGAUAUAAGAAAAAUGAAGAUGAAGUGAUGUCUGGGUCAGGUCUGACGAGGAGCAAGAAGAGGACUUGAGUGAAGUGGGACUGGGGGAGCAAUGUGACUUUGAUGAGCAUCACUUGUUCUGCUUUUUUCAGGAGACGCUGGGAAAUUAGGGUGGCAGCUCGACGACACUGAAUCAGCCACGCAGGCCUUCUGGCAGUUUGUGUGCUAGCUGGGCUUCGGUGUGGUGCCAGGUCUCUCUGCAGCACCUGCCAGAAAGAGUCUCCUCUGUUCUCCCUCCUUCUUAUUGGAUUAAAGCGAUUCUACUUUCCUCUUCAUGACGUCUGAACGGAUGAAACCAAGGAGAGAAAAGGGGAAGGUUGUCAAUAAGUGACAAAGCAGCUGCCGGAUGGAGGGAUGGAGCAUGGAGGGGAGUUGGUGGGGAAGACGGUGACAAGCAAAUGAGUCAUCAGGAGGAAUAACCUGUGCAGGGAGCCUCGUAUUCUGUCAGUCUGGAGCGGUGCAAUAGUGAGCUUUGCCCCGGUUUGUUGCGCAAAUGUGUGAGUGACAGAGAGAGAUAAGGAGGUGCUGCUGCUUGUUUUCUGAAAAGCAGCUUGUUGUUGCUCCUCAGAGUUUGGGAGUCCUCCGUAAGGUUUUUUUUUUGAGGGCUCGUAAUUGCCUCAGAGCUGCAAGAGUGACUGAGAGAAUGUUAUCAGAUGGAGGCACCACCUGAUGUGGCACAAUGGAUCCUAACAAAGCAAACCACGUAUGGAAGAAAAUAAUGCAAAAAAUGGCCAAAAAAGCAACAAAGGCAAGAGCAAACAAUGUAGCCGGUGAGGUCAAGAAACGGUGAGUUCUGAGCUGCAGUACACAGCCAGCCUCUGCUGCCAUAAGCCCCACGGGAAAGCAGGAAAGAGAAGGAGGAGGAAGGAUGCUGCUGAAGGGAAGGAUAGCUAUAAGGGCAUGGACAGAUGCACUGACAUUUCCAACCCAUUACCAUGGUUCACAGGGUGUGUGCUCGCUCUGCCCACAGACACUUCUACUCCUGGCUGGCAUGUGCACUGGCGUGGAAUAUAGACAGGCUGCAAAUGGCCACAUACUUGCAGAGCAACUUAUGGUAACACGACCCAGGGAAGGUUUUUAAAGAAAUAGAAGACUUGCCCGAAGCAUGCUUUAGUUCUUGCAACUAGCACCACAAUAUGGAUGAUGUAGUGCAAGCGUUAAAAAAUAAAAACUCAAAUAGAAUGUGCAAAGUGUAUAAAUAUGACAAGUAGUCAAUAAACAAUGCACAUGGGCCUGUAGUGAAGACUAUGCAUGUCCAUAGAUUAUUGGAUUGCUGGUGUAAAAACACUCUUGAAGUAAAGUGCAAAGGUGUAAAACAGGUGCAGUAAAACUACAUAGAAAUUUAUAAUUAAUUCAUCCUUUGCUCACGAGGUUCACAGUUCAGACUUUUCUCAGAUCCUUCGUAACCUGUCUGUCACUUCCUCUGUGAAUAUCUGUGCAUGUCAGUGAUGUGAUCAAUGCAGGUGAGACUUCAGUGUUAACAGCAUCCACCUGAUGUAACUCAAACACACCGUUUUGUUGCCAACCAACUGGCAUAACUUGUUUUUCCUCUGAAAUCUCAAUCUCUUCUCUGCCAGUCUUCUUUUUUUUUUUUUUUUAACUUUUCAGUGCCAUGUUAUGUCUUUUUCCUCCCCUCUGCUGCAUGCAUCUUGCAUCUUUGAUAACCUUGUGUGUGUUUGAUUCCAUGUGCCCAGCCUCCCUGUCCAGUACAGUGAAAGUACUGUAUAUUGAAUAAAGAGAUUUCUAAAUUGG